GAUCCUGGCUCAGAGCGAACGUUAGCGGCAGGCUUAACACAUGCAAGUCGAGCGACAAAGGGGCUUCGGCCCUGAGUAGAGCGGCGGACGGGUGCGUAACACGUGGAUAAUCUGCCUCGUGGCGGGGGAUAACAGUCCGAAAGGACUGCUAAUACCGCAUGUCAGGUCGGAAACCCCGGUUUCUGACGAAAAAGAGGGCGCCCGCAAGGGGCUCUCACCACGAGAUGAGUCCGCGGCCCAUCAGCUAGUUGGCGGUGUAAUAGACCACCAAGGCUAAGACGGGUAGCUGGUCUGAGAGGAUGACCAGCCACACUGGGACUGAGACACGGCCCAGACUCCUACGGGAGGCAGCAGUGGGGAAUAUUGGACAAUGGGCGAAAGCCUGAUCCAGCCAUGCCGCGUGAGUGAUGAAGGUCUUCGGAUCGUAAAGCUCUGUGGGAAGGGACGAAAA
rnacentral:rRNA from 1 species